GUUAUAUGGUCAAGUGAAUAAGCGCACACGGUGGAUGCCUAGGCGGUAAGAGGCGAUGAAGGACGCGGCAGCCUGCGAAAAGCUCCGGGGAGUUGGCAACAAACGCUGAUCCGGAGAUGUCCGAAUGGGGAAACCCGGCCGAAAGGUCAUCCCUUGACUGAAUACAUAGGUCUUGGGAAGCGAACGCGGCGAACUGAAACAUCUAAGUAGCUGCAGGAAAAGAAAUCAACCGAGAUUCCCCAAGUAGCGGCGAGCGAACGGGGACCAGCCCUGAAGUGGUUGAACGUUUAGUGGAACAGACUGGAAAGUCUGGCGAUACAGAGUGAUAGCCUCGUACACGACAAGCCUCAACCAUGAUGACGAGUAGGGCGGGACACGUGAAAUCCUGUCUGAAUAUGGGGGGACCAUCCUCCAAGGCUAAAUACUACUUACCGACCGAUAGUGAACUAGUACCGUGAGGGAAAGGCGAAAAGAACCCCGGCGAGGGGAGUGAAAUAGAACCUGAAACCGUGUGCGUACAAGCAGUAGGAGCGGAGAGAUUCCGUGACUGCGUACCUUUUGUAUAAUGGGUCAGCGACUUAAUGAUCGUGGCAAGCUUAACCGAAUAGGGGAGGCGUAGGGAAACCGAGUCUGAAUAGGGCGAUAGUCGCGGUCAUUAGACCCGAAACCGGAGCGAUCUAUCCAUGGCCAGGAUGAAGGUUGGGUAAAACCAACUGGAGGUCCGAACCCACAAAUGUUGAAAAAUUUGGGGAUGAGCUGUGGAUCGGAGUGAAAGGCUAAUCAAGCCCGGAGAUAGCUGGUUCUCCUCGAAAGCUAUUUAGGUAGCGCCUCGUAUCUCACUCUCGGGGGUAGAGCACUGUUAUGGCUAGGGGGUCAUCCCGACUUACCAAACCAUUGCAAACUCCGAAUACCGAGAAGUGCAAUUACGGGAGACAGACGGUGGGUGCUAACGUCCAUCGUCAAGAGGGAAACAACCCAGACCGCCAGCUAAGGUCCCUAAAUCUGUGCUAAGUGGGAAACGAUGUGGGAAGGCAUAGACAGCUAGGAGGUUGGCUUAGAAGCAGCCAUCCUUUAAAGAAAGCGUAAUAGCUCACUAGUCAAGUCGGCCUGCGCGGAAGAUUUAACGGGGCUCAAGCACAGUACCGAAGCUGCGGAUGCCGCAAGGCAUGGUAGAGGAGCGUUCUGUAGGCCGUUGAAGAUAGGCUGUGAGGCCUGUUGGAGGUAUCAGAAGUGCGAAUGCUGACAUAAGUAACGAUAAUGCGUGUGAAAACCACGCACGCCGAAAGUCCAAGGUUUCCUGCGCAACGUCAAUCGGCGCAGGGUGAGUCGGCCCCUAAGGCGAGGCUGAGAAGCGUAGUCGAUGGAAAGUGGGUUAAUAUUCCUACACCGUUCAUAAUUGCGAUGGGGGGACGGAGAAGGUUAGGUCAGCCGGUGAUUGGUAGUACCGGUUUAAGUGUGUAGGCAGAUCCCUUAGGCAAAUCCGGGGGGUCAAUGCUGAGGCAUGACGACGAGUCGCUACGGCGAUGAAGUGAUUGAUACCAAGCUUCCAGGAAAAGCCUCUAAGCUUCAGAUUAUGAAUGACCGUACCCAAAACCGACACAGGUGGACAGGUCGAGAAGACCAAGGCGUUGAGAGAACUCGGGUGAAGGAACUAGGCAAAAUAGCACCGUAACUUCGGGAGAAGGUGCGCCCAUGGUAAGUGAAGCGACUUGCUCGUGGAGCUGAAGUGGGUUGCAGUGACCAGGCCGCUGCGACUGUUUAACAAAAACACAGCACUCUGCAAACUCGAAAGAGGACGUAUAGGGUGUGACGCCUGCCCGGUGCCGGAAGGUUAAUUGAUGGGGUCAGCGCAAGCGAAGCUCUUGAUCGAAGCCCCGGUAAACGGCGGCCGUAACUAUAACGGUCCUAAGGUAGCGAAAUUCCUUGUCGGGUAAGUUCCGACCCGCACGAAUGGCGUAACGAUGGCGGCGCUGUCUCCACCCGAGACUCAGUGAAAUUGAAAUCGCUGUGAAGAUGCAGUGUACCCGCGGCUAGACGGAAAGACCCCGUGAACCUUUACUAUAGCUUUGCACUGAACAUUGAACCUACUUGUGUAGGAUAGGUGGGAGGCAUUGAAGCUCGGACGCUAGUUCGAGUGGAGCCAUCCUUGAAAUACCACCCUGGUAUGUUCGGUGUUCUAACCCAGGUCCGUUAUCCGGAUCGGGGACAGUGUAUGGUGGGUAGUUUGACUGGGGCGGUCUCCUCCGAAAGAGUAACAGAGGAGCACGAAGGUUGGCUAAGCACGGUCGGAAAUCGUGCGGUUAGUGUAAGAGCAUAAGCCAGCUUGACUGCGAGACAGACACGUCGAGCAGGGUCGAAAGACGGUUCUAGUGAUCCGGUGGUUCUGUAUGGAAGGGCCAUCGCUCAACGGAUAAAAGGUACUCCGGGGAUAACAGGCUGAUACUGCCCAAGAGUCCAUAUCGACGGCAGUGUUUGGCACCUCGAUGUCGGCUCAUCACAUCCUGGGGCUGAAGCAGGUCCCAAGGGUAUGGCUGUUCGCCAUUUAAAGUGGUACGCGAGCUGGGUUCAGAACGUCGUGAGACAGUUCGGUCCCUAUCUGCCGUGGGCGUUCGAGAUUUGAGGGGAGCUGUCCUUAGUACGAGAGGACCGGGAUGGACACACCUCUGGUGUUCCGGUUGUCACGCCAGUGGCAUUGCCGGGUAGCUAAGUGUGGAUGGGAUAACCGCUGAAAGCAUCUAAGCGGGAAGCCCACCCCAAGAUGAGAUCUCGCUGGGACCUUGAGUCCCCUAAAGGGCCGUUGAAGACCACAACGUUGAUAGGCUAGGUGUGGAAGCGCAGUAAUGCGUGUAGCUAACUAGUACUAAUGACCCGUGAGGCUUGACCAUAUAACGCCAAAACAG
rnacentral:rRNA from 1 species